GCAUUUGUUUAAUUAUGUAAAGAUGUGUUGCAGUUUUACCUUGCCUGCCUAAGGCACCUGAUAGGUCUAAUAAAAAGCUGAACAGCCAAUAGUGAGGGAGGAGGUAUAGGCAAGACUUCCAGGCAGGAAGAGUAAAUAGGAGGAGGGAUUUAGGUAGACAUAGAAAGAAAGAAA